GAGUUUGAUCCUGGCUCAGGAUAAACGCUGGCGGCGCACAUAAGACAUGCAAGUCGAACGGACUUAACUCAUUCUUUUAGUUUGAGAGCGGUUAGUGGCGGACUGGUGAGUAACACGUAAGCAACCUGCCUAUUAGAGGGGAAUAACAGUGAGAAAUCAUUGCUAAUACCGCAUAUGCUAACAGUAUCGCAUGAUACAGUUAGGAAAGGAGCAAUCCGCUAAUAGAUGGGCUUGCGUCUGAUUAGUUAGUUGGUGGGGUAACGGCCUACCAAGACUACGAUCAGUAGCCGGACUGAGAGGUUGAACGGCCACAUUGGGACUGAGAUACGGCCCAGACUCCUACGGGAGGCAGCAGUCGGGAAUAUUGCGCAAUGGAGGAAACUCUGACGCAGUGACGCCGCGUAUAGGAAGAAGGUUUUCGGAUUGUAAACUAUUGUCGUUAGGGAAGAUAAAAGACUGUACCUAAGGAGGAAGCCCCGGCUAACUAAGUGCCAGCAGCCGCGGUAAUACAUAGGGGGCAAGCGUUAUCCGGAAUUAUUGGGUGUAAAGGGUGCGUAGACGGAGAAACAAGUUGGUUGUGAAAUCCC
rnacentral:rRNA from 1 species